GAGCCUUUUGUUCCUCCGCCAGAACUGGAUGAUCCUGAGCCGUCACCUGUCCCAGAGUCUUCAGACUGCGCCCCCACUAAUGAAUCCCUUCGCUCUCGCUAUAAAGUGCAAAAGAUUAUUGGAGAAGGAGGCUAUGGCAAGGUGUAUGAGGGAAUCCGUAUUUCUGAUGGCAAAAAGGUUGCCAUCAAACGUAUUCAAAAGACUGUACGGGAUCAGUAUCUUCAAACUGU